rnacentral:misc_RNA from 1 species
GUGAAUACACCGCUUGAGUCCUUCGCUUCGGCAAGGCUCUUGCAACCUUCACAUCCAUAACACCUGUGAACUGUAAGAUGUCUUGACUUCGGUCAGCGUCUGCCCCUUUUAUAAACAUUUAGUAGUAACAAAAGUAGUAUUAUUAUAACCUAAUA